rnacentral:rRNA from 1 species
UGAGGAAUAUUGGUCAAUGGGCGAGAGCCUGAACCAGCCAAGUCGCGUGAAGGAAGACAGUCCUAAGGAUUGUAAACUUCUUUUAUACGGGAAUAACGGGCGAUACGAGUAUUGCAUUGAAUGUACCGUAAGAAUAAGCAUCGGCUAACUCCGUGCCAGCAGCCGCGGUAAUACGGAGGAUGCGAGCGUUAUCCGGAUUUAUUGGGUUUAAAGGGUGCGUAGGUUGUUCGGUAAGUCAGCGGUGAAACCUGAGCGCUCAACGUUCAGCCUGCCGUUGAAACUGCCGGGCUUGAGUUCAGUGGCGACAGGCGGAAUUCGUGGUGUAGCGGUGAAAUGCAUAGAUAUCACGAGGAACUCCGAUUGCGAAGGCAGCUUGCCAUACUGCGACUGACACUGAAGCACGAAGGCGUGGGUAUCAAACAGG